rnacentral:rRNA from 1 species
UGGGGAAUGACGUCGAAAUCAUCAUGCCCCUUAUGACCUGGGCUACACACGUGCUACAAUGGUUGGUACAACGAGUUGCGAGUCGGUGACGGCGAGCUAAUCUCUUAAAGCCAAUCUCAGUUCGGAUUGUAGGCUGCAACUCGCCUACAUGAAGUCGGAAUCGCUAGUAAUCGCGGAUCAGCACGCCGCGGUGAAUACGUUCCCGGGCCUU